GUGACUGCGUACCUUUUGUAUAAUGGGUCAGCGACUUAUAUUCUGUAGCAAGGUUAACCGAAUAGGGGAGCCGGAGGGAAACCGAGUCUUAAUUGGGCGUUAAGUUGCAGGGUAUAGACCCGAAACCCGGUGAUCUAGCCAUGGGCAGGUUGAAGGUUGGGUAACACUAACUGGAGGACCGAACCGACUAAUGUUGAAAAAUUAGCGGAUGACCUGUGGCUGGGGGUGAAAGGCCAAUCAAACCGGGAGAUAGCUGGUUCUCCCCGAAAGCUAUUUAGGUAGCGCCUCGUGAAUUCAUCUCCGGGGGUAGAGCACUGUUUCGGCUAGGGGGCCAUCCCGGCUUACCAACCCGAUGCAAACUGCGAAUACCGGAGAAUGUUAUCACGGGAGACACACGGCGGGUGCUAACGUCCGUCGUGAAGAGGGAAACAACCCAGACCGCCAGCUAAGGUCCCAAAGUCAUGGUUAAGUGGGAAACGAUGUGGGAAGGCCCAGACAGCCAGGAUGUUGGCUUAGAAGCAGCCAUCAUUUAAAGAAAGCGUAAUAGCUCACUGGUCGAGUCGGCCUGCGCGGAAGAUGUAACGGGGCUAAACCAUGCACCGAAGCUGCGGCAGCGACACUGUGUGUUGUUGGGUAGGGGAGCGUUCUGUAAGCCUGUGAAGGUGUGUCGUGAGGCAUGCUGGAGGUAUCAGAAGUGCGAAUGCUGACAUAAGUAACGAUAAAGCGGGUGAAAAGCCCGCUCGCCGGAAGACCAAGGGUUCCUGUCCAACGUUAAUCGGGGCAGGGUGAGUCGACCCCUAAGGCGAGGCCGAAAGGCGUAGUCGAUGGGAAACGGGUUAAUAUUCCCGUACUUGGUGUUACUGCGAAGGGGGGACGGAGAAGGCUAUGUUGGCCGGGCGACGGUUGUCCCGGUUUAAGCGUGUAGGUGUGUGUUCCAGGUAAAUCCGGUUCACUUUAACACUGAGGCGUGACGACGAGGCACUACGGUGCUGAAGCAACAAAUGCCCUGCUUCCAGGAAAAGCCUCUAAGCAUCAGGUAACAUCAAAUCGUACCCCAAACCGACACAGGUGGUCAGGUAGAGAAUACCAAGGCGCUUGAGAGAACUCGGGUGAAGGAACUAGGCAAAAUGGUGCCGUAACUUCGGGAGAAGGCACGCUGACACGUAGGUGAAGUGAUUUACUCAUGGAGCUGAAGUCAGUCGAAGAUACCAGCUGGCUGCAACUGUUUAUUAAAAACACAGCACUGUGCAAACACGAAAGUGGACGUAUACGGUGUGACGCCUGCCCGGUGCCGGAAGGUUAAUUGAUGGGGUCAGCGCAAGCGAAGCUCCUGAUCGAAGCCCCGGUAAACGGCGGCCGUAACUAUAACGGUCCUAAGGUAGCGAAAUUCCUUGUCGGGUAAGUUCCGACCUGCACGAAUGGCGUAAUGAUGGCCAGGCUGUCUCCACCCGAGACUCAGUGAAAUUGAACUCGCUGUGAAGAUGCAGUGUACCCGCGGCAAGACGGAAAGACCCCGUGAACCUUUACUAUAGCUUGACACUGAACAUUGAGCCUUGAUGUGUAGGAUAGGUGGGAGGCUUUGAAGUGUGGACGCCAGUCUGCAUGGAGCCGACCUUGAAAUACCACCCUUUAAUGUUUGAUGUUCUAACGUGGACCCGUUACCCGGGUUGCGGACAGUGUCUGGUGGGUAGUUUGACUGGGGCGGUCUCCUCCUAAAGAGUAACGGAGGAGCACGAAGGUUGGCUAAUCCUGGUCGGACAUCAGGAGGUUAGUGCAAUGGCAUAAGCCAGCUUGACUGCGAGCGUGACGGCGCGAGCAGGUGCGAAAGCAGGUCAUAGUGAUCCGGUGGUUCUGAAUGGAAGGGCCAUCGCUCAACGGAUAAAAGGUACUCCGGGGAUAACAGGCUGAUACCGCCCAAGAGUUCAUAUCGACGGCGGUGUUUGGCACCUCGAUGUCGGCUCAUCACAUCCUGGGGCUGAAGUAGGUCCCAAGGGUAUGGCUGUUCGCCAUUUAAAGUGGUACGCGAGCUGGGUUUAGAACGUCGUGAGACAGUUCGGUCCCUAUCUGCCGUGGGCGCUGGAGAACUGAGGGGGGCUGCUCCUAGUACGAGAGGACCGGAGUGGACGCAUCACUGGUGUUCGGGUUGUCAUGCCAAUGGCACUGCCCGGUAGCUAAAUGCGGAAGAGAUAAGUGCUGAAAGCAUCUAAGCACGAAACUUGCCCCGAGAUGAGUUCUCCCUGAGACUUAGAGUCUCCUGAAGGAACGUUGAAGACGACGACGUUGAUAGGCCGGGUGUGUAAGCGCAGCGAUGCGUUGAGCUAACCGGUACUAAUGAACCGUGAGGCUUAACCUU
rnacentral:rRNA from 8 species